AAGCUCGUAGUUGAAUUUCGAAUGUGGCUGGGCGGUCCGCCUCACGGUGUGUACUGUCUGGCUGUGUUCUCUUUCUUGGUGAGCCGGCAUGCCCUUUACUGGGUGUGUUGGGGAACCAGGACGUUUACCUUGAGAAAAUUAGAGUGUUCAAAGCAGGCCUACGCCCGAAUACAUUAGCAUGGCAUAAUAAAAUAGGACGUGCGGUUCUAUUUUGUUGGUUUCUAGAGCCGCAGUAAUGAUUAAAGGGAUAGUUGGG
rnacentral:rRNA from 1 species